CCUACGGGAGGCAGCAGUGAGGAAUAUUGGUCAAUGGGCGGGAGCCUGAACCAGCCAAGUCGCGUGAGGGAAGACGGUCCUAUGGAUUGUAAACCUCUUUAGGCGGGGAGCAAUGCCGGGCACGCGUGCCCGGAGGGAGAGUACCCGCAGAAUAAGCAUCGGCUAACUCCGUGCCAGCAGCCGCGGUAAUACGGAGGAUGCGAGCGUUAUCCGGAGUUAUUGGGUUUAAAGGGUGCGUAGGCGGAUUUUUAAGUCAGCGGUAAAAUGUCCGGGCUCAACCCGGGCCGGCCGUUGAAACUGGGGAUCUUGCGUGGGCGAGAAGUGUGCGGAAUGCGUGGUGUAGCGGUGAAAUGCAUAGAUAUCACGCAGAACUCCGAUUGCGAAGGCAGCAUACCGGCGCCCGACUGACGCUGAGGCACGAAAGCGUGGGGAUCGAACAGGAUUAGAUACCCGGGUAGUC
rnacentral:rRNA from 1 species